rnacentral:rRNA from 1 species
UGAAAUGCGCAGAGAUAUGGAGGAACACCAGUGGCGAAGGCGACUUUCUGGUCUGUAACUGACGCUGAUGUGCGAAAGCGUGGGGAUCAAACAGGAUUAGAUACCCUGGUAGUCCACGCCGUAAACGAUGAGUGCUAAGUGUUAGGGGGUUUCCGCCCCUUAGUGCUGCAGCUAACGCAUUAAGCACUCCGCCUGGGGAGUACGA